rnacentral:rRNA from 1 species
CCUACGGGAGGCAGCAGUGGGGAAUAUUGCGCCAUGGGCGAAAGCCUGACGCCGCGACGCCGCGUGAGGGAUGAAGGUCUUCGGAUCGUAAAACUCUGUCAGCAGGGAAGAACGGUCACUGUGCUAAUCAGCAGUGAAUUGACGGUACCUGCUAAGGAAGCACCGGCUAACUCAUUGCCAGCAGCCGCGGUAAUACGGAGGGUGCGAGCGUUAAUUGGAAUUAUUGGGCGGAACGCGCUCGUAGGCGGUAUGUCAAGUCAAGGGUGAAAUCCCCGGGCUCAAGGUGGGAACUGCCUUUGAAACUGGCAAACUGGAGUGUGUGAGAGGAUAGUGGAAUUCCAGGUGUAGGAGUGAAAUCCGUAGAUAUCUGGAGGAACAUCAGUGGCGAAGGCGACUAUCUGGCACAUAACUGACGCUGAGGAGCGAAAGCGUGGGUAGCAAACAGGAUUAGAUACCCCUGUAGUC